CUUUGGAACGCUCCAGCCCUCUGAGCCCACCCAACCGCCCUGCCCCCGAGUCCGUGUAGCCAUGGCAGAGCCUAGUGGAGGGGCAGUGCCCAUGCAGGCAGCCAGCUCAGCUUCCCGGGCUCCCACAGCAGUCCUGCAGAUGCCUUGUGUGACAAGUGACUUGUUCUUCAGAUGCCUACUGUGUAGAGAAUGCCAGCCCUGGAAUCCUACAACCUGAUUCAGUCCUGCCACUCCUGAGAGGAAAAUCAGAACAAGUUAAAAUAUAGAAAAAUAAGUCAGGUGCGGUGGCACACGCCUAUAAUCCAAACACCGAGGCAGAAAGAUCCCAAGAUCCGGAUCCACCUGGACAAUUUAGCCCACUGUGUCUCGAAAUUUAAAAAAAGAAAGAAAAAGAAAGCAAAAAAGAGGGCACAAAAAGGCCCAGGGACACACCAGCACAUACAGCUGUGUGCAGCCAGCAAGGUACCAGCCCUGUCUGGCCGCCUGCCAGUGACUCUGAGGCCACUGCCUUCAUGAAAGUGCUCACCUGGGACGGUGGACAGAGGCCCUGCCUGAGCCCAGCACACUUUGGGAUGUCAGGGAUGCCCCUCCCCACCCAGAGCUCAGGUACUAAUUGGAUGAGACUGAAGGGGAGAGGGACCUGAGCAGGAAGAGCUAGGGUCCAGAGCCGGGACUUUGUCUUUGCCUAUGGCAAGUGGAAGUGUCCAAGCUUAAACAGAGAAUGGUUUGCUCUCUUCCACUCUCACCCCCAGCCUCAAGAAACAACUGGUUGGGUGGGAUGAUGCAGGCCUGUAAUCUCCACUGCCCCCAGAGGCUGAGAGAGAAGGUCUGCAAGUUCAAGGCCAGCCUGGGAAAUUUAGCAACGUUCAGAGACUGUGCUUCAAAAUAAAAAUAAUAAACAGGGCUAAUGAUGUAGCUCAGUGUGAAGGCCUUGGGCUAGAUCCCUAGUCCUGAAAAAAGGAAGGAAGGAACUCACUUUGGAUUAGAAGGAAUAAGGACAGAGGGAAAUUGGAUUAAAUGUCCACAGACUGAGGAAUAAACAGUAAGAGAGGCCCACGGGCCCCACCCUGAAGCCCCUGAAGCUGCAGGAAGCAGAGAACAACUGGCUCAACACAUCGCUUUCUUUGAGGAGUCUGAGGCCCAGGGAGAAAAGUGACUCUCAGGAGUCACACAGCAAAGCAGUGGCAAUACUGAGACCCGGACCAAGAUCUCUUGCCUGCCUGUCAAGUGAAGUCCCUAAUAUUCCAUGCACGUGGCAUGGGGGGGGGGGGGCGCUGGAUAUUAAACCCAGG
rnacentral:lncRNA from 1 species